UACGUAGGGUCCGAGCGUUGUCCGGAAUUAUUGGGCGUAAAGGGCUCGUAGGCGGUUUGUCGCGUCGGGAGUGAAAACUCAGGGCUCAACCCUGAGCGUGCUUCCGAUACGGGCAGACUAGAGGUAUUCAGGGGAGAACGGAAUUCCUGGUGUAGCGGUGGAAGUGCGCAGAUAUCAGGAGGAACACCGGUGGCGAAGGCGGUUCUCUGGGAAUUACCUGACGCUGAGGAGCGAAAGCAUGGGGAGCGAACAGG
rnacentral:rRNA from 1 species